AGAGUUUGAUCCUGGCUCAGGAUGAACGCUGGCGGCGUGUUUAAGGCAUGCAAGUUGAGCGAAGUAUUCUCGCAAGAGAAUUACUAGCGGCAAACGGGUGAGUAACACACUGGUAACCUACCUCUAAGACGGGAAUAGCUCUCCGAAAGGAGAAUUAAUACCCGAUAGUAACGCGGGGACAUAAGUCAUUCGCGUUUAAAUCUUUUUUGGCUUAGAGAGGGGCCUAUGUAUGAUUAGCUAGUUGGCGGAGUAAAAGCCCACCAAGGCUACGAUCAUUAGCAGGCGUGAGAGCGUGACCUGCCUCACUGGGACUGAGACACUGCCCAGACAUCUACGGAUGGCUGCAGUCAAGAAUAUUCCUCAAUGGACGAAAGUCUGAAGGAGCGACGCCGCGUGUAGGAUGAAGGUCUUCGGAUCGUAAACUACUUUUAUGUGGGAAGAAUUUGUGACGGUACCACACGAAUAAGAGGUUGCUAACUCUGUGCCAGCAGCAGCGGUAAUACAGAGACCUCAAGCGUUAUCCGGAAUUAUUGGGCGUAAAGCGUCCGCAGGUUGUGAGACAAGUCAGAAGUUAAAACUUCGCGCUUAACGUGAAGAUUGCUUUUGAUACUAUCUCGCUAGAGUAUGGGAGAGGUAAGCGGAAUUCUCGGUGUAGUCGUAAUAAGCGUUGAUAUCGAGAAGAACACCAAAUGCGAAGGCAGCUUACUAGAACAUUACUGACACUCAUGGACGAAAGCGUGGGGAGCAAACAGGAUUAGAUACCCUGGUAGUCCACGCCCUAAACGAUGUGCACUAUGUAUUGGCAGUAUCGACCCUGUCAGUGCCGUUUAAAAAAGCUAACGCGUUAAGUGCACCGCCUGGGGAGUACGAUCGCAAGAUUAAAACUCAAAGG
rnacentral:rRNA from 1 species